rnacentral:rRNA from 1 species
AUUAAACGCUGGCGGCAUGCCUAACACAUGCAAGUCGAACGAGACCUUCGGGCCUAGUGGCGCACGGGUGCGUAACGCGUGGGAAUCUGCCCUCUGGUUCGGAAUAAAUCAGGGAAACUUGAGCUAAUACCGGAUAAUGACUUCGGUCCAAAGAUUUAUCGCCUGAGGAUGAGCCUGCGUCGGAUUAGCUAGUUGGUGAGGUAAAGGCUAACCAAGGCGCCGAUCCGUAGCUGGUCUGAGAGGAUGAUCAGCCACACUGUGACUGAGACACGGCCCAGACUCCUACGGGAGGCAGCAGUGGGGAAUAUUGGACAAUGGGCGAAAUCCUGAUCCAGCAAUGCCGCGUGAGUGAUGAAGGCCUUAGGGUUGUAAAGCACUUUUACCCGGGAUGAUAAUGACAGUACCGGGAGAAUAAGCCCCGGCUAACUCCGUGCCAGCCGCCGCAGUAA